GGGAAUGUGGCUUAGUGGUAAGAGUGCUUGCCUAACACACAGGAAGCCUUGGGUUCAAUUCCUCAGUACCA
rnacentral:tRNA from 1 species